GGGUGAGUAAGGCGUGGGGAACCUGCCCCGUACCGGGGGAUAACACCUGGAAACAGGUGCUAAUACCGCAUAACAGAAGGGGACGCAUGUUUCUUUCUUGAAAACUCCGGUGGUACGGGAUGGACCCGCGUCUGAUUAGCUGGUUGGCGGGGUAACGGCCCACCAAGGCGACGAUCAGUAGCCGGCCUGAGAGGGCGGACGGCCACAUUGGGACUGAGACACGGCCCAAACUCCUACGGGAGGCAGCAGUGGGGAAUAUUGCACAAUGGGGGAAACCCUGAUGCAGCGACGCCGCGUGAGUGAAGAAGCGUUUCGGCGCGUAAAGCUCUGUCAGCGGGGAAGAAACACGGUUCGCGAGAGCCGCGGACGGUACCCGACCAAGAAGCCCCGGCUAACUACGUGCCAGCAGCCGCGGUAAUACGUAGGGGGCAAGCGUUAUCCGAAUUCACUGGGUGUAAAGGGAGCGUAGACGGCGAGACAAGUCUGGAGUGAAAGGCCGGGGCCCAACCCCGGGACUGCUCUGGAAACUGCCUGGCUGGAGUACAGGAGAGGUAAGUGGAAUUCCUAGUGUAGCGGUGAAAUGCGUAGAUAUUAGGAGGAACACCAGUGGCGAAGGCGGCUUACUGGACUGUAACUGACGUUGAGGCUCGAAAGCGUGGGGAGCAAACAGGAUUAGAUACCCUGGUAGUCCACGCCGUAAACGAUG
rnacentral:rRNA from 1 species